rnacentral:lncRNA from 1 species
CUUGAACUAGGUUCACUAGGUUCGGGAUGCCUCCUCUUUCUUCUCAAAUCACGUUCAAAAUCGUCGUUGAAAUCCAAGAUGUGUGCAUGCACAGUUUGAGAACUCCGCGUCAUGCACUAGUACCUAAACCAAGAAAACAAAACAAAAUCAGAAAACUAAGUAAAUUAUACUAAAACACACGGCAAAAACACAAGGGAUUAGCAAUUUUGCUAAUCCCCGGCAACGGCGCCAAAAUUUGAUGUGAAAAUUAACUUGACACACAAAUUAAACCCUAUGGAUGACAAUUGUAGUAUAUGAGCAAAUAGGGAUCGUUCUAAACCGGGGAUUAACUAGGGAUGCUAAUCAAUGUGAAACUGACUCAAGAACAUAAAAACAUAAUGUAGAACACUAAACUAGACUCAAUUAAUGCAAAACUAGAGUUUAAAACACCUACACUAACCAAAAACUCAAAACAGCAACAAAAAGACUCAAAACUGCCUUAUAACCACUUUCUGGGCAGUUUUGAGUACCUAACACUAAUUUGGACGAAAUUGGACUAAAACUUAACUUAAGACACUUAAAACACAAACUAAAUUGAUUUCUAACUAAUCUAACACUUUAAAAUAAAAGGGGGAUUGAUUUUGACGAAAUUAAAACUUUAAAAUUUAACUUUGAAAACAAAUGUAAAGCAAAACAGAUUGUGAUAAAAUAGAAUGAUGAGAAACUAGUUAGAGGGUUCCUUAUCCACACAUGCACAUAUGCAUACAACUCGAUUUCCAAUUACUCUUUCAACAAACCAUGAAUGACAAUGCCCCAAAUUAACUAGAUUGCACCAAUUAAUUCUCAGAUUUCCCUAGAUUCAUUGAAUUGAAUGGAAUACGCAUUACAACCAAAUUAUUCUUAUCAAGGACCCUAACUAUGGAAUACGCAUGAUAGAGACACAUAUCAAAGAUCAUUAAGUUCAAUGGAAAUCAUAAGCAUUGACGAGGCAUUCAUAACUAUAGGAUACGCAUGUUACUCUUGCCUAGGAUUUACUUAACGCAAUCGUGACUAGCGAUUUUUACUACUUAUGAAUAUAAGUUAAUAACGAUUAGGUGAAAUUCCCUUAUAUCCUAGCAUCAAGUUUAUGCAUGCAAAUUAAGUGUCGACCCUCAACCCACAUACAUAAACAAGUUAUCAAUCAAAUAGAUAAGUAAAUCACAUUCACAAUUUCUGAAAUCAUAAUUGGAAGAAAUCAAAUCAUAUAAAACAUAUGUCCAUGGCUUCAAAUUCACCUCUAACUAAAAAGAAAUUAGUUCCACAUGUCUAACAUAAUUGAAAAAGCAAUUUAAAUUAAACAUGAAAACAGAAACAAGAGAAGAAAAAACUCUUAAAACUCCCAAAGAUGCAGAUGGCUUGCGCACAAGGCCCUCAUUCAUCAAUGGAAUGCACGACAAGGCUCUCCUUCUUCUCCAAAAGGUGCGGCAGAGAUGUGUAUGGAUUGUAGGAUGGGUUUUGUGAUGUAGAAUGGUGAUUAGGGUUGCGGCAAGGUGUGUUUGGAUGGUGUGAAGGGGUGGUGACGAAUUUAGGCUUAAAACACAUAUAUAUAGGCACCACAAACCCUAAAGAAAUCAGGUUAGACAAUGGGCUAGGGUUUAGGUGCGGCUAGGGUUAGAGAUGGGCCUUCUAGAAUGCCUUGCAAGGCAAGGAAAUAGGUGUUCUAGAAGGCUAGGUGCGGCUGAUUAGUGGGCUAGGGUUAGGGUUUGUAGAUAGGGCUUCUAGAAAGCCCAAAACCAAGAAUAGAAACUCUCGAAAAUGGAAACCUCUAAGAAUAGAAACUUCCAACUUUAGAAACUUUGGAUGCCAAUUCCGACUUCUUUGUUCUUCACUUUCAUUUCUUCAUUUCUUAAGCUCCUUUGACCUUCAAACUCGUCCAUUCCUUGUGCUCCAUAAGCAUACACUCCAUUCCAGCUCAAUUUUGCUCUCAAAUGCUCCAAAUUGCAUCAUUUUAUGUAAUAUGCUCUUAAAACCUGAAGAACACAUGAAAACUAACUUAAAAGACUACUUUAAACUAAGAAAACAUAACUAAAAUGCAUAAGAACUAGCUAACUAAGGCGCAUAAAUAUGCUCCUAUCAAAUUCCCCCACACUUAGCUUUGCUAGUCCUCGAGCAAAAUAAAGAAUUAAAGAAAAACAAAACAAACAAAAACAAACAAAACAGAACCUAAACCUUCCAACAUUUGCCUCAGGGAUUUCCAAUGCACAUGACAUGUUAAAAAUCAUCAUUCCCACAGAUUUUAGUCAUCUUUACUCUUAAGCACAUACUUAAUCAUAGUCACCACGUACUAGUUCACAUUUAACCAAUUAAAACAUGAUUUUGAAUGUAGUAACAUGCCUUAGAGAAUUUGCUCAAUUCCUUACUAGAUAUGCACUCAAUUUUCACACAGAUUUUCUGACUACACACCCUAUACUAGUUAUAUGUGAGAAGAUUGAUGUAAAUAUGAAAACGAAUGCUCACAUAUAUGUUAUAACAAAGGAAAGCUUUCUCUGAAUUUAAUAAGCAUGUUUAGAUAUGAUCUCAUGAAAUGGAAUGCUACUACUUAGAUGCGAGAACCAGUGACACCAUAUGCUCAUACCAAUCCCAAACUCCACAAAUUGAAACACAUAACACUCAAGAUUAAAGUCAAGGGUUGUAACGGGGCUAGGGGAGUUGGCUAACAACGAAAGGAUAGGGAAAACAAACGUUCUUUAAGCAAUAGUAAGCAAAACAAUGAAAUCGUACUCAGAAUUCCCAUUAGCAUGCAGAAAUUAACUUUUAAACACAAAGGGAAGAUUCAACAACAAUUAGGGCCGAAUUCACUGUUUUGGACCCUUCCUUCAACAAACAACACUUAAGAACUCUUUUUCACAUUUUUUCAACUCCUUUUCAUUCUUUUCACAACUUUUUCUUUCUUUCUUUUUUUUUUUCUUUUUAUUUUCCACGAAAUUUUUCUUUUUCUUUUCUUUUUCGUGCCUCAUUCAAGACUUUGGCACACCCACAACAAAACUCACUUCCCCCACACUUGUUUUCUGCCAACAAUGACCAAAAGGAAUUCAUUUUGAAGUCAUUCAUUACUAUGCUUCAAGAACGAAGGUAUGGAUGGUCCUAAUCUAGGCUAGGUGAGGAUAAUGUGGGUUAACAAAGAACAUAGGCUAACACAAGGCUCAACGGGGUUAAAACCUACAAAAAUAAUUGCAUGGAAUGAAGGCUUUUUGGCUAUGGUGGUAACUACUAACUUCAUCUUGAAUAUGUGUUAUGUAAUUCAAUAACAUGUUUUGAAUGAAAUUGACAUGAGUUCUAGCAUUUGGAACUAAAUGAUGAAACGCCUUCUAAGUAAUAACCAAGCAAAGAAUAAUGAGAUCAUGCAACGACUUUAGAAAACAAGAAUGCACAGAUUUUUACUCUCCAAAUAAACGUUUAGGCUCAAGUCUCACAAGGUUGUAGCGUUUGUUUGAGUUACUUCCUUCAAGCAUGUUACAAAAACGGAUUUUUACUUUAUGAUUACAUGUGAAUUCAUAAGUUAUAACCACAACCAAGCAUAAACCAAAGAGUAAAUCAAACUUUUGUCCAUGUUCAUAACUCUCUUUAACAAUCAUGCAAUUACAAACCGAAUCCUCAUCAUUGUGUUGGAAGGUACCCUAAGACACAAACACACAAAAACAACUUUAAAACGACUCUUUUUGGGUUUUUAAAACAAAUUUUUCAAAUUUUUAUGGGAUUUUCGGAUUUUUGACUCAAAACACAUUAAAACACACCAAAACAGCUUAAAAAGGCUUAAAAACAGCAAGAAACAACAUUUGAAAUUAUGGGUGACAAAACCCUACGAAUUUGCAUCAAAACACUUUGGUUACCCCCCCCCACACUUAAACCAAACAUUGUCCUCAAUGUUUCAAGCAUAGACUCACACAAAAACACAUAAACAAACAAACCAACACUAACAAACUAAACAUGGCAGAAACGAAAGAAACAACAAAGAGAAGGGUUUAGAAACGCAAAUCUGGAAUUGGAGUGCUCUCUAGGUCUUCCUUUGUCAAAUGCAUGGGUUGCCUCCCACGAAGCGCUUUCUUUAACGUCUUCCAGCCGGACGGUACCUCCGUUUAAGCUUGACUAGGUUCCAUGGCAUGGAGGGGUACAUCCUCCAUGACAUGCUCCUUGAAAUACUCAUGCAUUGGGUCUAUGUAUGGCAGUGGAUAAUGAUGGUCCCAGAUUGUGGCAUUGCGCUUCCCAAGGUCAAAGUAAGAACUCCCAUAAUCAUGGAUUCGAUUUGGUACCUGCACUACAGAAGGCAAUAACCUAUUAGUGGAAACGGGAAUUGGAAUUAGAGGAGGAGGCUUACCAAUGCAUGUAGAUGAAGACUCAAAAGGGGCAGCAAAGGUGGUGCUCUCGGCCAGAUUUGGUAUUUUGGGUGUAAUGACAUGUUUCGUAUGCUCCACUCCAAUACCCUCUUCGAUGAUGCAUCUAGGGACAUCCUUCUUGAUUGGUGCGCAUGAAUGUUCCUUCCCCACAUUUUUAAUCACAUCUAUUGCAAAACAAGAACGAACAUCAUUAGGAUUCUUAACAUAUUCAGGAACUUUGAAUUUAAUCAAUUCAUCACCAAACUCCAUUGUUGACUCUCCCUUAGCCACAUCAAUCUUGGUUUGGGCUGUCUUCAUGAAGGGCCUCCCUAAUAGUAUCGGCAAUGGGGUAGAAUAGGGUGAAUCCUCCAUGUCAAGCACGUAAAAGUCCGCUGGAAAAAUCAAAUUGCCCACCUGCACCAAAAACAUCUUCCAAAACACCCUUUGGAUAUGCAUUAGAACGAUCGGCUAAUUGAAUAAUCACACCAUCGUUUUUAAGCUCACCUAAGUUCAUAGAUGCAUAAAUAGAGUAUGGCAUAACAUUAAUCGAAGCCCCUAAGUCUAACAUGCAUUGUUCAAACUUAGUCUUGCCAAUAACGCACGGAAUUGUAAAACUACCCGGAUCUUUGCAUUUAGGGGGUAAUUUCCUUUGUAACAUGGCAGAAACAUUCUCACUUACUUGGACCACCUCUUUGUUCGAAAUCCUUCUCCUUGAUGUACAAAGUUCUUUUAAAAACUUAGCAUACCUCGGGACUUGCUUAAUUGCAUCAAGGAGCGGAAUAUUGACUUGAACUUUCCGAAAGGUCUCUAGAAUGUCCUUCUCGGCUUCUUCCUUCUUUGAUUGCCUAAACCUGCCAGGAAAGGGCACAUUUAGUGGAAUGGAACUAGAAAAAGUCGAAUUUGGACUUACCUUGGUGGUUUGGGACGGCUUAGGAGGGCUAGAUGGUGGCGGCAAGGAUUGUUCAUCCUUGGCCGUGAGUUUUGGUCCAUGUGCUUCCUCUUGUAGCAACUUUUCAUCCUCAUCGUGACUUGAUUUGGAUGAUUUUGGUUCGGCUCCAACCUGUGUACCACUUCUCAACAUGAUUGCAUUGACGGUUUCAAAGCCUCCUUUAGGAUUCAUAAUAGUUGAACUAGGCAAUUUGCCUUGUUCUCUAAUCUGCCCCAUGAAUUCCGCUAUUUGCCCCACUUGCUUUUCCAAGUUAUCCACCCUUUUGUCUUGGAUUUGCCUCUCUUUGUUUUGAUUUUGUACUUCCUGCGUCAAAGUAGUAAGUAACUUAACAACUUGAUCAUUAUCCAAAGACAUACCUGAGUUUGUUGGGGCAGAUUGCACUUGGUUUUGAUUGGGGAUGAAUGGCUUUGUAUAAAAACCCGGUGGUUGCUGCCUAAAUCCUCCUUGUUGUUGGGGUUGUUGAGGAUCCCGCCAUUUGAAAUUUGGAUGGUCCCUCCACCCCGGAUUGUAGGAAUUAGAGUAUGGAUCGUGGCGUGGUUGAUUUUGGUUCCCAAAACCCACGGCAUUGGCAGAUUCCCAACCCCCAUUCUCAAUCAACUGAGGGCAUUGAUCGUUGGCAUGUCCUUGCAUAGAGCACACGCCACACACACUUGGUCCAUGAAUCUUCAUUCCCUCGGCCAACUGAGAAACAAUAGAAGUAAGGUUAGCUAAUUGGGAUUGAAUUUCGGGCAUAGAACUUACCUCAUUCACUUGUGGCCGUGGGGGGUCUCUUUGUCCAACACCUUCGUAUUGUUGUGCAUUUAUAUGCUCGGUUGGCAAUUAGAACUUUUGCAGCCCCCGGAGUUUUAUCCACCAACGCACCUCCCGCCGAGGCAUCAAGCAUUUGGCGUUCCAUGGGAAGGAGUCCUUCGUAGAAGUAUUGAAUGAGCAGCUCCUCCUUCAUUUGAUGCUGUGGACAAGAAGCAACAAGUGAUUUAAAACGUUCAUAAUAAGAAGGAAACGAUUCACCUUGAUUUUGUUGGAUGCCACUAAUCCGUUUCCUCAAGAGAAUGACUCUUGAAGUUGGGAAAAACUUCUCCAAGAAAGCUCUUUUCAUACUAUCCCAAGAUGUAACUGUUCCGGGUGCUAACUCGUAAAGCCAAUCCUUCGCCUUUUCCAAAAGUGAGAAUGGAAAAGCCUUCAUCAUCAGAAUGUUCCCGUCGACAUUUAUGGGUGUCAUGCUCGAACAAACAACCUCGAACUCCUUGAGAUGCUUGUUGGGAUCUUCCAUGGAAAGCCCAUGGUAUUUCGGAAUGUGGUGCAACAAGCUUGACUUCAGCUCGAAUUCAUCGGUCUUGCCUUGGGCAGCCGCGGGGUAUUGAAUGCAUAAUGGUGCGGCAUUGGUCAACCCCGAGGCCGAAAGCUCUUUAAUGGUCCGAUUGUCCGCUGCCAUAACUUCUUCUUCCACUUCUUCAAACUCAGAUUCGGCCUCUGAACUUGAACUAGGUUCACUAGGUUCGGGAUGCCUCCUCUUUCUUCUCAAAUCACGUUCAAAAUCGUCGUUGAAAUCCAAGAUGUGUGCAUGCACAGUUUGAGAACUCCGCGUCAUGCACUAGUACCUAAACCAAGAAAACAAAACAAAAUCAGAAAACUAAGUAAAUUAUACUAAAACACACGGCAAAAACACAAGGGAUUAGCAAUUUUGCUAAUCCCCGGCAACGGCGCCAAAAUUUGAUGUGA